rnacentral:rRNA from 1 species
CUUAAAGAGAUAAGCACCGUUCCCGUCUUCACGCUGAUGAUGUGCUCAUCUCAACAAGAAACCGGCGGCGCUCGCAGGCUGGAGGUCGCUCCACCCGUCGCCCACAUCUUCACAUCAGACGUGGGGCACGCACAUAGAUGUCUGACCGCAAGGCCGCUCUAAAUACACACGCACACGGCCGGAGCCCCGAGGCCGCCGCCAGGCUGCGCACACUGAGGAAGACGGAGGCCAUGCAUAGCGGCCACGCCCAGUAGAAUUUUAUCCAAGCUCGAUCACGCUAAGCCUUUCUUCUACACCGCCACCUAAAUGUUUUCUUAGAUCCAUGAAGGCCGUCUCUCCCACCGCAUCUACAAGGCGAUGGUAAAGUUGGUAAGAGCAGGUAUAUUUUUCCUCUCAUGAUGCAAGUACUAUUUAUGCCCAUCACCGGUGAACAGGUAUUGCACACGGCCUUACCGUUGUGAUUAGAGGCAGACAGGUGAACAGGUGUUGCACACGGCCUUGCCGUUGUGAUUAAAGGUGGACAUGUCUUUUCUCUCACCGCCGAUGAACAGGUCACGUGCAUGGCGUCUUGCAAGUGGAGACGAACAGGUCCCGCAAGGGAGGGCGAUGAGAUUAUGAGCACGGCAUGCAACCCUAUCUGGCCAUGACCUGAGAGAUGUGAAAAAAUUCCAUCUCUCGCUCUAUUUUACAGGUUACCCUUGUGGUGGGAGAUGAACGUUUUUGCGCGUGGUGGCGACACCGCUGAGGGAAAGGCCAAUGAGAUCAAACACGGCAUGCAGCCUUAUAUGGCCACGUCGCCUUCAUCAUCACCAUGUCUCAGUUCAUUGCGGACCGUCUCGCCGCCGAGAAGUUUGAGGCCGACAAAAAGGCUGCCGAGGACGCCGCUGCUGCCGCCACCGUCGCAGCGGCUUCUGCAUGGCCUACUGGGUGACAUAACGCGUUUAUCCCUCUCCUGAUUAUUUCCGUAUUAGCAUUAUUAGCAUUAUGUGUAGAACUAUGUACUGUUUGCGUAGUACGUGCUCGUUUAGAUCAGUAUCAGUAUGUCGUUAAUUCUGUCAAUCCAUGCUAAUCAUUUAUUUAGGAAUUAAAUUAGUCAAAAAAUUGCCUAUUUACUCAGCAAUCCAAAAACCUAUUAUGUGUAGGAAUUUUUCAGCAAGUGGCUUUGCUGCUGCACUAAAACCGGAUAAGUUUACCGGUACGUACUUUAAGCGUUGGCAGACUAAGACCACUUUAUGGCUCAUGGCUAUGAAUGUAUUCUGGGUUGUGACUGUGCCCACGAGAACGAUUGCUCCUGAACAGGAGAUGGCGUUCAGGGAGGCCACCGUCCUUUUUCUCUGAGCAGUUCUUAGCCUGAUCGAAGAUAAAUUGGUCGACGCAUAUUUACAUGUGUGUGUCGCCAAGGACUUGUGGGAGCCGCUCAAAUCUAAAUUCGGGGCCACCGAUGCUAGGAGCGAGAUGUAUAUUAUAGAGCUGUACCAUGAUUACAAGAUGGUCAAGAACCAUCCUGUACUGGAGCAGGCUCAUGAGAUAAUAUGCAUAGUUAAGGACCUUUAGCUUCUUAAGUGCGAGUUACUGCGCAAGUUUGUCGCGGGCUGCAUAAUCGCCAAGCUCACUAAUUCCUGGAGGAACUUUGCUAUCACUCCGAAACAUCAGAGGCGUGAAUUCUCAAUGGAGGAUGUCAUUGGACAUCUAGGUGUUGAGCAGAACUCGAGAGCAAAGGACUCGAACGGGAAAGGGGUCAAAGUGACUUCUGUAGCCAACAUGGUGAACUAGAAGAACUUCAACUCCUACAAGCCCAAGGGAAAGCACGGUGUCCAACAAAAUACCUACUUUAAGAAGAAGGGUAAGAAGACAUUCAAGAAGAACAAGAAGGAUGAGGGAUGCUUUACUUGUGGUUCGGUUGAACAUUGGGCCAACAAGUGCCCAAACAAGUAUAAGUCAGGACAGGACUCCAAGUUUGUCAACAUGAUUAUGGGCAACAAUGAGAAUGGUGCAUUUGGGUCACAAGCCACGAGUCCAUACUGAUGGGGAAUGGCGCGAGUGCUUCUGUUCAUGGUGUUGCCACGGUCGAUCUGAAGUUUACUUCGGGAAGGAUCGUGAAGCUGAAGAACAUGCAACAUGUCCCCGCCAUCAAGAAAACCUCGUUAGUGCCUCCCUUCUAUGUAGAGAAGGGUUUAAGUUGGUUUUCGAGUAUAAUAAAUUAGUAGUUACUAAGUAUGGACUAUAGGUUGGAAAAGGUUAUGAGAGGGGAGGGAUGUUCCGCCUUUCCCUCACAGAUUUUUGUAAUAAAGUCAUGAACCAUAUUCAUUCGAG